rnacentral:tRNA from 1 species
AGUUAAAAAGCCAUAGUAAGCCUAAUGUCUUGAAAACAUUUUGAAAGAAGUUCAAAUCUUCUAUUAACUU